rnacentral:rRNA from 1 species
AACAAACGCUGGCGGCGUGCCUAAUACAUGCAAGUCGAACGGGGAAAGCUUUCGGGUGAGUACUAGUGGCGCACGGGUGAGUAACGCGUGGAUAAUCUGCCUUAGAGUGGGGGAUAACUAGUCGAAAGAUUAGCUAAUACAGCAUAAGACCACAAGAACUGCGGUUCAAGGGGUCAAAGGUUUUUCGCUCUAAGAUGAGUCCGCGUAAGAUUAGCUAGUUGGUAGGGUAACGGCCUACCAAGGCGACGAUCUUUAACUGGUCUGAGAGGAUGAUCAGUCACACUGGAACUGAGACACGGUCCAGACUCCUACGGGAGGCAGCAGUAGGGAAUAUUGCACAAGGGAGGAAACUCUGAUGCAGCGACGCCGCGUGAGUGAUGAAGGCCUUCGGGUCGUAAAGCUCUGUCGCAGGGGAAUAACACAAUGAAGGUACCCUGUAAGAAAGGAUCGGCUAACUUCGUGCCAGCCGCCGCAGUAA